GGUCGCACCGCAUCCUCCGGAGCUGGGUCAUGGAGGCCCGAAGGUGUCUGAGCACCGCCUUGUCCUCCAGGGCCCAGGGCUGCGCCAGAGUGUCAGGGAGGAACUCCCGGAGCACUUCCAGGGGCAGCUUCAGGAGGCGCUCUGGGUGGUGGGCGAGAGUCAGACCCAGAGGGCCCCGCCCUGUGGCCCCCGGUGCCCCCAGGCCAGCGGCUGGGGUCCCGCUGUGCCCAGGAGCGCCGUGGGCAGUGCGCUGGCCGGGGUGGCCCCUGACCACUGCUCCUCUCAGGGAGCCCCGCUGCACCCGCCUGCCCCACAGUCCCCCCGCCCCAGGUCUGGGUGCUGCUCAGAGCACAGGGUCACCGCCCCUGCUACCCCCCCACACAUCCCUGGGCUCCCAGGGGCUCACUUACUCCUGUGCACCUUGAGGUUGGUGUAGGCCAUGGCCGUGAGCACCCUCUCCCCAUCGAGUAUAUCCCACAGCUUCAGGGUGAGCGGGAAGGGGGUCUAGGGGACAGCGGGGUGGGAGGAGCGGCCAGAGCAGGGCCCCUGGGGGUCUCGGCUGGGGCUAGGCUAGGCCUCCCAUCUGCCCCCCGGCUGCCCCCGAUGAGGCCCCCCCCGCCCCCCCCUCCCCCGUGCGUGCCCUCCUCCCAGGGAGAUCAGGGCUCCUGGCCACUCUGGGUUCCAACCCGGCCAGCACCCCCCACACCCCUGGGGGCACAGACUCUGCCCCCACUUGACGACACCACGCCUCGAGAGGACCCCGGGCUGGCCGCCCAAUGGGCCGAGGGCCCGUCCACACCCCGGGCUGACCUGGCCUCCCGCGGGGGACCUGAGACAGAGAUGGCUCGCCCCCCGGAACCUCCUCCAGGGACCCUCUGGACUUCUCCAGGUCGGGCUGGGCUGCGAGCCUCAGCCUCAGGGCCCCAGGGUCGGGCCUGGCUCCUCGGAGGGUGGGGCUGAGCUGGGCCCUCCCCGGGGGCAGGGGGCAGGUCCGGGAUCAGGGGUGCCGGGGGGCCGAGGAAGCACUGCAGGAACCACUUUGGGGUAUAGAUGCCGGUGGACAUCUGCUCCUUGUCCUGGCGGAAGGGCAGGAGGUGCUCAGGCUCCCCCGUCUCCCUCACAGCCCGGGCUCCCAGAGGGGACUCCCAGAGGGCGGGGGGGGGGGGGGGGGGGAGGUGAAGGCCACCCGGACCAGCUCGGGUGCCAGCACCCCGGGCCCCGCUACCAAGCCCUGCGGCCGCCGUGCCAGGGCUCCCGUCCUCAGACCAACAGGAGGGGCCUCCGUGAGCUGUGCCAGGCUGCAGGGGAUCCGCCAGGUCUGGAGACCCCCCGGAGGACAGGUCGGAGGCCUGACUUUGGCCCCUGGGAGGUCCCACGAGGGGAGCUGGGCCAGGACACCCUGCGGGGCUGGGGAGCGUGUGAGCUGGGGUCCUCGGGGACCCUUCUGGAAUGCGCUGUGGAAGGGGAAGGCCUCCUGGGCGCCUCGGCCUUGUGCCCUUCAGGGGAGUGGGAGCCUUCCCCGCCCGGGUUCUCGUCAGUAGUGCCGUCUGUCAGGGUCCAGACCCGAGCUCUAGGACGGCCGCGGUGCAUGCGGGGGCCCCGGCCCCCGGGCCCGGGCUGCAGGAGGCCGGCUCCCCCUGGGCCGGGGGUCACCGGUCAGCCUGACCCGGCCGCGCUCUGAGGGCCGCGGGGUCCCCUGGGGGCAGCAGGUUCCCUGCAGGGAGGAGCACCGAGCUCUCGUGGGGAGACGGUCUGAGCGGCUCCCCGGGAAGCCCAGCCACCCUUGCCUGGCGGCUCACCAGCCCCGCCCCUGGCGCCCCUGCGGGUCACCCCUGAGGUCCCGGGCUCCCACACACCCCGCCCACUGCACACAAAGGUAGCUGCACCCUCUGCUCCACCCACCUGCACCCCUCUGUCGGGGGCUCCCUGCCUUCCCCCCUCCCCACGGCCCCUGGGGACUCUACGGGACACCGGAGCUUCUGACGGGAGCAGGCCAUCCAGAGAACCCCAAGGUGGCCGGAGAGGCUAAGCAUGUCCCCCAGGUGGCAGCUGCAUCGGGUCCUUGUGGGGUGGCAGCGGGACCGAUAGUGUAGGGGUGGGGGGUCU
rnacentral:lncRNA from 1 species